UGCAGCUCUUACCGGUGAAAUGUGUUGUUUCUUGACUUCUUGUCUUCUUGAAGGAAAUAAUUCAGUCAAGAGACCAGAAAGCAAGAAAAUGCGGUGAGGCAAAAAAUACGCUCUCCAGACCGUAGAGACGCUUGUGGGGUAAGCUGAACAAACCCGGCUAUUAGGGUUAGAUUGGUCUUUAUUUUUUCUUAAGAGGCAGGAAGUCCUGCCCUGCGUCUUACGUCCUUUGACCGACAGGUUGAUUGACAGCUCUGGGUUGUAUCAACUUUUUCUCAGCGCGCAGGCACCUCAGCUGGAAGUACCCAAGCGAAGCCCACAGGUGGGCCAGAGCCGCAGUGCUAAUGUUAGUCUAAUGAGGUGGGGAUGCUAGGUCUUCGGACCCUGCGCGUGCCCUGUAGUCACGGGAGCCCCCGAGCCAGGUCAGGUGUCCUUGACCUGGAACUGGGACCUACGGAGGGCUUAGCGGCUGGCCAGGGGGUCGUCUUCCUCGGUGACGGCCUGGCCCCCUUCUGCCUCUGUCUGCCUAGCCGCCUCCUAACACGGCCACUCGAAUUCAAGAUCAUCUUUGAUAAGGUUAACCUGCUACUGCCGCCUUGCAACAGAAUUUUAACCACCUGAGGCCUCUCACUGCACCCAGUUCAGCUUAAGUCGGACCCAGAAUGAGCCCAGACGAGAAGCUGCGGAGGAUCCCGGAGGGCCCUGGGCUCGCCUGCCGGCGGCGAGGGAGGAAGCCGUCCGCGAGCGCGGGAAACCGCGAGUCCCGCGCCCACCAGGGCCUCAAUUGCUUAGUCUGAGUUGGGUGGAAACCCAUUGUCUCCACACACCAGUACCUACUGGGAAACUCCUCAGGCUUCCUCAUUCGCCCCCCAGGAUGUUUAACGACACCACGUGCUUCAAUGCAAACAUACAGUCAGAGCAAGUAAACAUGCUUCUGCCCUUUUCUGAAUAAGUAUUUGUCAGGUUUUACAUGUCUUUUAAUGUCAGAAGUGCCAGGUAGGAUUGUGCCUCUAAUGUCUUCAUCUUUAAUUUGCUUGUUUUCUAUAACUCCUAUCUGUCUUACUAUUAGCCUAAAGACCAAUGUGUAGCAAAUUAGUCUGCUGUUAAGAUUCAUCCCAGAUCCUCCAGAGCUGAACCUGUAUUUUCCUUUCUUACUCUUGAACACAUUCACAGCACAUAGGGGGAACUAAAGAAUAGAAACUUAUUGGUCUAGGAGCUUUUUAUUAACCCUUAUUUUCUCACUUUCUUUUUUCUUUCUACUACUUUUAUUUUAAAAAUGUGCAUUGGAAUA